rfam:Planktothrix serta PCC 8927 isolate BBR_PRJEB10992 genome assembly, scaffold: BBR_A_PL8927_scaffold64
AUCGUUCAUCUCCCCCAAGCACUGAAUAGGUGGGUGAUAUUUUAGCUGUUUGAGGAAGACGGAAGUAGGGAAUUUUCCCGAAGGAACGCACA